GGCGCUACGCCGGAUGAACGGAAAUCAUUGAUGUUGAUUAAUAUAAGGAAUAUCUACCUUUAGUACUA
rnacentral:tRNA from 1 species